AAUGAACGCUGGCGGCAUGCCUUACACAUGCAAGUCGAACGGCAGCAUGACCUAGCUUGCUAGGUUGAUGGCGAGUGGCGCACGGGUGUGUAAUGCAUCGGAACGUGCCUUUUAGUGGGGGAUAACGUAGCGAAAGUUACGCUAAUACCGCAUAUUACCUGAGGAGGAAAGCAGGGGACCUUCGGGCCUUGUGCUAGAAGAGCGGCCGAUGUCGGAUUAGCUAGUUGGUGAGGUAAAGGCUCACCAAGGCAACGAUCCGUAGCGGGACUGAGAGGAUGAUCGGCCACACUGGGACUGAGACACGGCCCAGACUCCUACGGGAGGCAGCAGUGGGGAAUUUUGGACAAUGGGCGCAAGCCUGAUCCAGCCAUGCCGCGUGAGGGAAGAAGGCCUUCGGGUUGUAAAGCUCUUUCGGCUGGGAAGAAAUCGCACCCUCUAAUACAGGGUGUGGAUGACGGUACCAGCAUAAGAAGCACCGGCUAACUACGUG
rnacentral:rRNA from 1 species